rnacentral:rRNA from 1 species
GAUGAACGCUGGCGGCGUGCCUAAUACAUGCAAGUCGAGCGAACAGACGAGGAGCUUGCUCCUCUGAUGUUAGCGGCGGACGGGUGAGUAACACGUGGAUAACCUACCUAUAAGACUGGGAUAACUUCGGGAAACCGGAGCUAAUACCGGAUAAUAUAUUGAACCGCAUGGUUCAAUAGUGAAAGACGGUUUUGCUGUCACUUAUAGAUGGAUCCGCGCCGCAUUAGCUAGUUGGUAAGGUAACGGCUUACCAAGGCAACGAUGCGUAGCCGACCUGAGAGGGUGAUCGGCCACACUGGAACUGAGACACGGACCAGACUCCUACGGGAGGCAGCAGUAGGGAAUCUUCCGCAAUGGGCGAAAGCCUGACGGAGCAACGCCGCGUGAGUGAUGAAGGUCUUCGGAUCGUAAAACUCUGUUAUUAGGGAAGAACAAAUGUGUAAGUAACUAUGCACGUCUUGACGGUACCUAAUCAGAAAGCCACGGCUAACUACGUG